rnacentral:rRNA from 1 species
UACGGAGGGAGCUAGCGUUGUUCGGAAUUACUGGGCGUAAAGCGCACGUAGGCGGCUUUGUAAGUUAGAGGUGAAAGCCCGGGGCUCAACCCCGGAAUUGCCUUUAAGACUGCAUCGCUUGAAUCCGGGAGAGGUGAGUGGAAUUCCGAGUGUAGAGGUGAAAUUCGUAGAUAUUCGGAAGAACACCAGUGGCGAAGGCGACUUACUGGACACAUACUGACGCUGAGGUGCGAAAGCGUGGGGAGCAAACAGG